CAGCUGGAACUCCAGACGACAAACUUCGUUUAUUUAUAAUUUAUUAUAUAUCCGGACCUAAUUUGUCAACGGCAGAGUUAGAUCAAUAUUCGUCAGCGUUGUCCGAUGCUGGGGCUGAUAUCACUCCACUGGACUUCAUCAAGAAAUGGAAAGCUUUCACUAAAAUGGCUGUGGGUCCUCUUCAGUCUGGAGGUGGAGGUCAAAAUACUUACAGUGCCAUGUUUUCGCGAUUCAUGAAUACAGGAUCACAGUUUGUCAUGGAAGGAGUGAAAAAUCUUGUGGUGGGAAACAAGAAUUUACCUGUAACGCGAGUUGUUGACGCGCUAAUGGACAACAAGUCGAAUGCGGUGAGUCAUUUCCACGUGACUUCAUGGCGGCU